rnacentral:lncRNA from 1 species
CACCAGGCCACUGCCAGUUGAAAGGUGAUCUUAUUUUUCCAGCAGUUUUCCACUAUAAACAAAGAGCUGGGACUAUCUCACACUGCUCCAUCCUCUCCAGUGACCCACCCUUGCCUUGGCCAGCCUCUUGGGUCCCAGAUGUGGAUUGCUGUUAGGAGGGAAUAUUUAUGACCCAGAGAGACACCCUUCUAGUGCUAUCAGGGGUUGCUGAAUGACUGCUUUGGGGGUAAUAAACUCUCUCGCUGCUUUUGAAAAGGAGACUUAAGCUUCUGGAAGAACUUGCUUAUCCUGCCAAAGAUGAUGAACUCAACAGAGAGUGCAAGGGAUGCUUUAUGUGGGGACAGGCAAACUUCAGUGUCCUCUGAGGAUAUCUCACUCAAAUCUAAAGUACUGGUGCUAAAGAUGCUGCAGGUUUGCAGGUGAAGCUAUGAAAUCAGCUUGAAGCCAUCUGAAAGCAUUGAGCAUAAAUGCCAAGCACAGCCAUGGGUGCAAGGACAGCACUGAGCUUGUCCCAAAGGCACCGCCAAGGGCACUAGGGUGGCCCUAACAGCUGAGAGCUCUGCUGUCCCCUGUGAAGAGGGCUCAGCAGGCCUUUGUCUACCCUCACUGGGUCUGGAGCCAAUGUGGGAGAUACCCACAGUGUAACCGAAACUACAUGGCACACAAGAGAGGGCCAUCAGGCUUACGUUGGGCUGAUGAUAUGGCUAAUAUGGAGAAAAUAAAUAAAACUACGCAGAGAAAACUAAACACUGUAAAAAGAUGCCAGCGGGACACAGAACUGACAGUAAUUUCUAUCAUUAUAAUGUGGCACUGCUCAAUGGAACUCAAAAGGAUCAGAACUGGCACUGCUAGACACCUGGGCACACUGAGCUGGAGAUAAUCGGACACUGAAAUCCAUGGGAAGACUCUUGCUGAUUUCAGGAGGUUCUGAAGAAGGCUUGUGGUUAUAUUGCACUGCGUGAGAGAUCUCUGCUACAUGAGUCCUCCGCUCCAUCAAAUAAAUAAAGGGGUAUUCUUUAUUCUUUGUUGUCU